UCAGCUGGGAAUUUAACGGCACCAGCGUCAACGGCUCCUUGUAUGUGGUCCAGCACCUGGAUGAGCAAAGCGAGGGCAACUACACGUGUACGGCGAGAAAUGCAGUGACUCGCCGUGAAAACUCCACCAUUCUGUACCUGAGAGCGUCUUGUGUCACCACCUGCUGGUCGGUUUCAGUGAUGCUGCUGAGUGCAACCAGCCUCAGGUGGUCUACUAUGUAGUGUACUAGAAGAUGACCAGAAUCGAUGAGUCGGCUUGGGAUGGAGGAUCUUUAUUAAAAAGACUUUGCGGGAAGUGUUGCCAUGGAGACAAAAUUAGAGAAUUUGAACAAUCUACAAUACUGCCAACAUUGCAUUUGGCUCAAGGAUU